GAUGAACGCUGGCGGCGUGCCUAAUACAUGCAAGUCGAGCGAACAGACGCGGAUCUUGCUCCUCUGUCGUUAGCGGCGCACGUGUGUGACACACGUGUAUAAUCUACCUAUAAGUCUGGGAUAACUACGGGAAACCGGAGCUAAUACCGUAUAAUAUAUUGAAGCGCAUGGUUCAAUAGUAAAAGACGGUGUUUCUGUCUCUAAUAGCUGCAUCCGCGCCGCAUUAGCUAGUUGGUAAGGUAACGGCUUAUCAAGGCGACGAUGCGUAGGCGAAGUGAGAGGGUGAUCGGCCACACGGGAACUUAGACGCGGACCAGACGCCUACGGGACGCAGCAGUAGGGAAUGGUAGGCAGUAGGCGAAAGCCUGACGGAGCAGCGGCGCGUGAGUGAUAAAAGUCUUCGGAGCGUAAAGCUGUGUUAUGAGGGAAAAACAAAUGUGUAAGGAACUAUGCACGUAUUGACGGUAACUAAUAAGAAAGCCACGGCUAACUACGUG
rnacentral:rRNA from 1 species